GAUGAACGCUAGCGGGAGGCUUAACACAUGCAAGUCGAGGGGCAGCAUAGGGUAGCAAUACUCUGAUGGCGACCGGCAAACGGGUGAGUAACGCGUAUGCAACCUACCCUGUACAGGGGGAUAACCCGGAGAAAUUCGGACUAAUACCCCGUAAUAAUAUCCGGAGGCAUCUUUGGAUAUUUAAAGUUUCGACGGUACGGGAUGGGCAUGCGUAACAUUAGCUGGUUGGUAAGGUAACGGCUUACCAAGGCUAUGAUGUUUAGGGGUCCUGAGAGGGUGGUCCCCCACACUGGUACUGAGACACGGACCAGACUCCUACGGGAGGCAGCAGUGAGGAAUAUUGGUCAAUGGGCGCAAGCCUGAACCAGCCAUCCCGCGUGCAGGAAGACGGCCCUAUGGGUUGUAAACUGCUUUUCCAGGGAGAGAAACUUACGCACGUGUUGCGUGACUGACGGUACCCUGGGAAUAAGCAUCGGCUAACUCCGUG
rnacentral:rRNA from 1 species